rnacentral:rRNA from 1 species
UGUAAGCGUAUACCAAAGUUGUUGCAGUUAAAACGCUCGUAGUCGGAAUUUGGCAGUUCCGGAAGUGUGCACGUCGUGUGCGCACUUUGCGGGGACUGCUUUUGUGGUCUUGCGUAGGAUGAGGCACUUUCAUUAGUUAACGUCCUCACGCAACCACUCUUUACUGUGAGAAAAUCAGAGUGCUCAAAGCAGGCAUUUGCCGUGAAUGUAUUAGCAUGGAAUAAUAGAAUAGGACUCGGUUCUAUUUUGUUGGUUUGUUGGGACUGAGUAAUGAUUAAGAGGGACAGUUGGGGGCAUUUGUAUUCCGGCGCUAGAGGUGAAAUUCUUAGAUUGCCGGAAGACAAACUGCUGCGAAAGCGUCUGCCAAGGAUGUUUUCAUUGA